UUGGUAAUGCACUGUCGUAUGGAAUACCUCGACUAUAUAAUUAUUGAUACAAUGUCAUUAUUAUUUACUAAUUAUUAGUAACAAUACAAAUAAUAGCAAGCAGGUGCCUAUACGUAUUUACAUUUACUGAGCUGUAUCAUUGCACAUUGUGUGUUCACUUUCGGUAUGACGACAUUUAUGGUUUUAUUUUUAAAUCGUUCAAGUGUGUACUCCUGACGAAAAAAAAUUUGAAUUAAUAUUUAAUACCUAGAGUUGAGCUUACUGCAGCUUAUCUCUGUGGAUUUACACGGUUAGAGUCGUUAUAUGUUUCAUAGUGCGGCUUAUGGCUACAGACUGCUGCGGUACAUACACACGAUACCUGAUACCGGGCUCUUUAUGACCGACGUCAGUCACCAUAUCAUUAUUAUACUACGACCGUAGUGUCCGUUGUUACCGUGAUACCGUUUCAAUGGUUUAUUUUAUUUCGCACACAAAUGCAAAUAUUUUGAACACCCCGACUUGUCUUCGGCAUACUUCUCCAAUACAGUAUUAUUGUAUUAUCCGAUCUUAUUUCGUACGACAUUCCAUAUACAACAUCCACUUGGCACCGGCCGGUAAAUACCCGAUAGGAUGUGUAGUUUUCCGUUUCUGUGAAUAAUAGUGUCAUUAUAGUAACUCAUGUCCCAAGCACUCGUAAUCAAUUGAUGUGCGAAAUAGUAUUAUGUAUGUAUUGUUUCAUGACAGUCAACCGGGCAUCAUGCGAUAUAAUUCGGAGAUCAACAAGUCAACACGUCGUUUCCGAUUUUAAUUUUAGCUUCAUAUUCAGUUAACAGUUACGUCAUUUUACAGUGGCGGCGGUGAAGUGAAAAAUGCGGCUUCAACUAUACGCCUCAAACCAUCAUAAUUAUAAUAUAUGACUAGGAUUAUUUGCUUUUUUUUUUUAUUAUUUUUACUUUUAUAUUGAUUAGUUUAUAUAAUUAUUUGUCCAUGAGUAUACAGUGAUUCGUGUUAA